rnacentral:siRNA from 1 species
UUAGCGUGUGCUUUAUUUAAUGUU